rnacentral:rRNA from 1 species
GACGAACGCUGGCGGCGUGCUUAACACAUGCAAGUCGAACGGAAAGGCCCUGCUUUUGUGGGGUGCUCGAGUGGCGAACGGGUGAGUAACACGUGAGUAACCUGCCCUUGACUUUGGGAUAACUUCAGGAAACUGGGGCUAAUACCGGAUAGGAGCUCCUGCUGCAUGGUGGGGGUUGGAAAGUUUCGGCGGUUGGGGAUGGACUCGCGGCUUAUCAGCUUGUUGGUGGGGUAGUGGCUUACCAAGGCUUUGACGGGUAGCCGGCCUGAGAGGGUGACCGGCCACAUUGGGACUGAGAUACGGCCCAGACUCCUACGGGAGGCAGCAGUGGGGAAUAUUGCACAAUGGGCGGAAGCCUGAUGCGGCAACGCCGCGUGCGGGAUGACGGCCUUCGGGUUGUAAACCGCUUUCGCCUGUGACGAAGCGUGAGUGACGGUAAUGAGUAAAGAAGCACCGGCUAACUACGUG